rnacentral:rRNA from 1 species
GACGAACGCUGGCGGCGUGCUUAACACAUGCAAGUCGAGCGGUAAGGCCCUUUCGGGGGUACACGAGCGGCGAGCGGGUGAGUAACACGUGGGUGACCUGCCCUUAGCUCUGGGAUAAGCCUGGGAAACUGGGUCUAAUACCGGAUAUGACUCCAUAACGCAUGUUGUGGGGUGGAAAGCCUUGUGCGGCUAGGGAUGGGCCCGCGGCCUAUCAGCUUGUUGGUGGGGUGAGGCCUACCAAGGCGACGACGGGUAGCCGGCCUGAGAGGGCGACCGGCCACACUGGGACUGAGACACGGCCCAGACUCCUACGGGAGGCAGCAGUGGGGAAUCUUGCGCAAUGGGCGAAAGCCUGACGCAGCGACGCCGCGUGGGGA